rnacentral:lncRNA from 1 species
AGAGAGAGGGAGAGAGAGAGGGACAAAUUAUUAACUGGUGCAUGUUACUUCAGUUGCUGGACCAUUUCUUUUAUUUGCAAGGUUGCGGAUGUAUUGGUAAUUGUAUCACUAUCAUAAAUUAGAUAGUCCAAUCCAAAAGAAAAAAAAACAGAGAAAUGGAAAAAGACUAAAUACUGUGUCGUAUAGCUAGACUGGAUAGAGAGAUCACUGUCGUGUAGUGUGUGAAUGAGACGGCAAUAACGUGACAAAACACAUGCGCGUGGUGCACGUGAAGAGGGCCUGAUUUACCUUAUGAGGAGUAGGGGGGGAAUGCCCCAUUGGACCCUUCUGUAGAUGGUUCUAUUUUCCCAUUAAUUUUUUUACGCAAUAAAACUAUAAAACAAAUCUAUACUAUUAAAUCAAAAAUUUUCUUAAAAUUAUGUCCCUGACUUUUUCAAUUAAUAACAAAAUUUU